CCUUGGACUGCUUUCGGCGGUUCAGUUUUAUCUCCUCGCUCUCACUUCUUGAUCAGACAAGACUCUCUCUUUCUUUCUGGUGACAAAAUGGCUUCGGUGCAAGCUACUAGUUUGGCCUCAGCUUUGUGCAAAAAUGGCACCCAGAAGUUUCCGAGCAGCUCCUUCUCGCCGAGGUUUGAUGUUGUGGCUGGGCGUGGAUUUAUUAAGAAAGAAACGCUGCCUCGUUCUUUGGUUUCAUCUGUUCCCAGAGCGACGUUAACCUUUGAUCCUCCAACAACCAAUUCAGAUAAAACUAAGCAGAGGAAGCAUACUGUUGAUCCUUCUUCUCCUGAUUUCCUUCCUCUUCCCUCCUUCGAACAGUGUUUUCCAAGGAGUACCAAAGAACACAGGGAAAUUGUUCACGAACAAUCUGGUCAUGUUCUCAAAGUUCCUUUCAGACUGGUCCACUUGUCUGGGGAUGAACCCAGUUUUGAUAAUUAUGAUACCAGUGGUCCUCAAAACAUUAGUCCCCGAAUAGGACUUCCUAAACUGCGCAAAGACUGGGUUGAUAGGCGGGAGAAGCUAGGCUCACCAAGGUACACUCAGAUGUACUAUGCGAAGCAAGGAAUAAUAACUGAGGAAAUGUUGUAUUGUGCUGCUCGUGAGAAACUUGACCCAGAGUUCGUGAGGUCAGAGGUUGCACGUGGACGGGCAAUAAUCCCUUCCAACAAGAAGCACCUAGAGUUAGAGCCAAUGAUAGUUGGAAGAAAUUUUUUGGUCAAAGUCAAUGCAAAUAUUGGAAAUUCUGCUGUUGCAAGCUCUAUUGAGGAUGAAGUUUAUAAGGUUCAAUGGGCAACCAUGUGGGGUGCUGACACUGUCAUGGACCUCUCAACAGGUCGCCACAUCCAUGAGACCCGUGAAUGGAUCUUACGAAACUCUGCUGUACCAGUUGGAACUGUGCCCAUCUAUCAAGCACUUGAAAAAGUUNNNNNNNNNNAAUCUGAGCUGGGAAGUCUUCAGAGACACAUUGAUUGAACAAGCAGAGCAGGGCGUUGAUUAUUUCACUAUCCAUGCCGGGGUUCUUCUACGAUACAUUCCUUUAACUGCAAAAAGAAUGACGGGAAUUGUUUCUCGUGGAGGAUCAAUUCAUGCAAAGUGGUGUUUGGCUUAUCACAAGGAGAAUUUUGCCUAUGAACACUGGGACGACAUACUUAACAUCUGUAAUCAAUAUGAUGUGGCUCUUUCAAUUGGCGAUGGGCUGAGACCUGGGUCCAUAUAUGAUGCAAAUGAUACUGCUCAGUUUGCAGAGCUCUUGACUCAAGGGGAACUAACCCGUAGGGCGUGGGAGAAGGAUGUGCAGGUGAUGAAUGAAGGACCUGGCCAUAUUCCUAUGCACAAAAUCCCUGAAAACAUGCAAAAACAGCUAGAGUGGUGCAANNNNNNUGAAGCACCUUUCUACACUCUUGGACCCCUGACAACUGAUAUUGCUCCUGGAUAUGAUCACAUUACCUCUGCCAUUGGUGCUGCCAACAUUGGUGCUCUUGGCACUGCACUACUCUGUUAUGUCACGCCAAAGGAGCAUCUUGGAUUGCCAAAUAGGGAUGAUGUGAAGGCGGGGGUUAUAGCAUAUAAGAUAUCUGCACAUGCAGCCGAUUUAGCAAAAGGUCACCCUCAUGCUCAAGCCUGGGAUGAUGCAUUAAGCAAGGCCCGAUUUGAGUUCAGAUGGAUGGACCAAUUUGCUUUAUCCUUGGACCCCAUGACUGCAAUGUCCUUCCAUGAUGAAACCCUGCCAUCAGAAGGUGC
rnacentral:misc_RNA from 1 species